GGGAAAGGGUGUAUAUCCUUGAAAAAGUACCUUGAGACAUAUCGCCAGCCCUCUCACUGCUACUCUGCUUCUCUAAAGGUAACAAAAACAAGCUUUUGCAGCUCUGGUCAAUUAAGGGUUUAGGCCUUAAAAGUUACCUAAACUUCAAAGAUGUUGCAAAAGCUUCAAAAAGGUUCAGAUGGAGCAGAAAUAAUUUGUUCUUGCUUCAUCAGAACAUAUUUAUUGUCUAGGAUGGAAUUAAAGUGCCAAGGCUAAGAUCCUGUCAACUAGCUUGAGCUUUUAUUUUCUAAUCAAAAUGAAAUACAGUAGACUUCACUGCGUAUCGAGUUAAAACACAGCAAGAGUGGAGAAUUUAAGUUUAAAUUUAACAAGGCGUACACAAAAACUGUACUUUGUCUUGUCCUGCUGCUUUAGGUCACCGUCUCAUCAAAUUCCCCAUCCUCAUCCAGACAAAGCCACAAGAAGAGGAUGAAGCUGUAUUGUCGGUUUCCAGACCUAAGAAAGAGGUAUGAUAACCAUCUCACAAAGCCUCUAUCAAAGCAAAAAUAGGGGCCUUGAGAAGAUGGAAGGCAGUUGGAACCCUGAAAGCAACUCGAAAUUCACUUUUGAUUAUACCUUUUCUCAGUGAGCGUGUUCUGAGAAUUUUACACUAAAGAAAGAGAAGUGACCCAACUGGUUUUGCUUCUACUGCUCAGCCAUUCUCUUCUUUUUUCCAUUUGCCUUACAAGUACCAAUUUAAAUCAUGUGUCAGUCACAGUCACCACAUAAUGAAGAGAUGACAUUCAGAUUACAUUGCCUUUAUUAAAGUAAAAAAGAGGUUCUACUCACCACUCUCUUCCUCAUUUUAAACAAUGUUGGGAAUUGUUCACCAUCCCCUUUGCUCUCCCCAAAAUUAAGUGGCCAGGUGCCUCCCAACAUCUCUUCUGCACCUUCCUGAGUAAGGCAGCAGAAACAAAUGCUUUGUGGAUUUCAGCCCAACACAUGACAACCUCAGUGCUAAUUCCUCUCAGUGGCACUUUCCCAGGUGAAAUUCUUCAGGUACCACCUGAUCUUCACUCGGUUCACUUCUAAUUCACUCCCAUCUUCCUACCUUCAAUAAUUUAUUAAUUUCCAGUACUAUAUACUGGAAUGAAAGAAACACUGUUUUAUCCAGAACAGCACUGUGGUAUGAAAUAGCCUCAAAAAACAGGAAACACUCAGAAGUAAAUUCCCUUUUCAGCCUCAAGAAUGUUUUGGGUUUUAGCUCAACGAGGUGAUAGUUUGCAAACAGGGUUCCUAUACAAAAAAAACCCCACAGUCUACAAGACUACAACAACAGCAUAUGAGAAACAUCUUCAGCUCCAAAACUGUGAGAAAGCUUCCUGCACUGUCCUAAUGGGAUGGGGAGUCACCUAUGUGACUGAAGUGCACUUGCGUGCCUGGUUCCCAGCUGCCCUGGAGGUCACUGUCUAAUCUCACAUGAAUUAUUUUUUACUUUCCAAGGAGUUUUCUACAUAAGAGAGGAAGCACACCUCCUACUAAACAUCAUGAGAGCUCCACCCUCUGCACAUCUUCACAUCUGGGCACUUCUAAUGGACGUACUGUGCAAUUCCAGAUUACCCUGCAUCGUUGCUCUUUGCUGUAUCUUGGAGGUGGAUAUAACUCCAGUUCAGCCUCUCAUGUUCCUGUGGCCCGUUCCUGGAGGCGCUCAAGGCCAGGUUGGAUGGGGCCUUUGGCAGCCUGAGCUGGGGGGGGGCAGCCCUGCCCAUGGCAGAGGGUUGGAGCUGGGUGGGUAUUGAGGUCCUUCCAACCAACAUUCUGUGAUUCUAUGCUCUCUCAAGCAGCAACCCAACAACAAUUCUUUGUCUCAACUAAACCUGAAACUUGCUUAUUUGUACACAGUAUGAUCCCACGCUGUUCUUUCUUCUUCUUUGCCCCAGUGCACGUUUGUUAUGACUUGUGUGCAAAGGAUGCACAUUUUAUUGGUAGACAAGGUACAGUUUAGGAACCUAUACAUGCAGAAAGCAAAUAAAAACAAACCCUGAACCAUUUUUUCCAGGCCUUUCCUGCCCUUCUGCUUGUUCCACACGAUAGUCUCAUGUACUGUAACAGUGCACCACUCACUGGCCCAAGCACUCCUGAAGCUGAACUGACCCUCAGCUAACACAGUGCAGUCAGAAGGAAAUGGUCUCUUCUUUUUGUGCAGCACUUUGUGAAGUUUCUGCUCUGUGCUCAGCACCACUUCCUUAAUUUUCAUAAUCUCAUAGCACUCUAAAUGUUGUCUGGUAACACUACUGAUUGUUACUAUAAUUUUAAAAUCCCUUUAAGGACUCUUUGACCCCUUAAAAUGAGCCUCUUAACUUUGCCUCAGAACUGAGAUCACUGAAACCAUUAGAGUUUAGUUGCUUUAUAAUACACCUUUCUCCAAACAUAACCUUCCUGAGACAGUGACCCAUGCUCCACGCAGUAUUCUAGCGAGGCCUAAUAACCAUCUUCCAGAGGACUGUAUUGCCUCUUUCCUGGUGCAUUAUAGCUCAUUGUUCCAUCAGUUUAGUGUCUUGUUUGCCUUUUUUAUUGCAGCUGUGCACUGAAGUGACGGUUUCUAUGAUUUUUUUCCACGGUUACCCCUUUUUCUCUCUGAUCAGCGUGCUGAAUAUAACACCCCUUCCUUACAUUUGCUCUUUGUUCCCAGACUAAUUACUUUUCAUUUUCUAUACUAAGCAGCAUUUGCCAUCUGCUGGCUCAUCAACUAAAUGAUCCAAAUCCCCUUUGAAUCCGCUCGCGUUGUUCUUUAUCGCUUCUCUGUGCUUCCAGUCUCACUGUCCAACCAGUGGAGAUUUCAGCGUUCAGCAGCUGAGGCACAGGAGCAGAGGCAUGCGAAUCCGCAGGAUCUUCUCACACCUUGGGCAGAGCAUCCCUCCUGGAUUUGCGGCUUGCUGCAUUCAGACGGAAAGGAUGGGUUGGCCUUGGCAAAAAUGAGGCUCACAUAUGCUUCAGGAGGUUUGAGAUAAAGCGUGGCUUCGAGCCCAGGUGCUGCGCUGAGGGAUGGCACAAGGCAGUGUGUUACACCACAGAUCCCAAGGGCUGUGGAUGGGCUGCUGAGCCCCGCUGGUGUGCCCACACCAACACGCUUGUGCUCUGCUCCCCACCUCGCUGUCUCACCACCCACAUUGGAAGGAGAGGAACACACUGUGUCUUCUUCCUGCAACCUGUGCUAUUUCUGCGUGUGUGUUCACACACGUGCAAGUGGGGAAAAGGAAGAAGGAAAGAAAUGGGAACAAAAGCAGACUUCACCUCAGGAAAUCAGUACCUCUGGAGCCAUGGGCAAAACAGUAUGUUUCCUCUCACCUCAAGAGGGCAAUUUCCAAUAUUCCAGCACUAAGAAAUUGUUCUGAAUCCCUUUAUGCAGUGCUCCACGCAUGGAAGAAGCAGGGGUCAGCUGGGGACACACACUGCCUUCCCAGCUCUGAGCACCAGUUGUGGCUGAGUAGUGUGGGAUAAGUGCGGAUGCUCUUAAAGCAGGGUUUAUGGGCAAGCCUUAUGCUGUGUUGAUGUGUGUGCCACAUGGCAUUCUCUUGGAAACUCUUUUCUGUCUUAGUAACAGCCAGCCAGGCUUGCUUGUCUAUUGCCUUCACAUCAUUUUGUUUGUUGUUUCAGGAAAAAAAAUUGCCUGAGAUUACCCAGACUGAGCAAUCUUUUAGAUGAUCUUUUCUGGGCUUUCUCUCAAAGCAUGUCUGUACUUGAGGCAUUAUCAGUUGCCUAUCCAAGAUUCACUCAGGUAAGAGAAGAACUGGACAACCUUUACACAGUGAUUUAAAUUAGGAGCACAAAACACGAAUAAAUCUUUAAUAAAUUACAAAUAUCAGAGAGGAUAACUUGUGCUGUGCCUUUCCUUGGCCAGAAAGCAGCAAACCCAGCCUAACUAACUUGACCUUGGUUAUAAUAAUGAUUGGAGAUACUGCAUUUUAUCCCAUGCUUUCCACACACUUAAAAUCAGUUGAAAUUCCAGGUGCUCAGCAUUUCUGAAAAACAAUUUUUACCUUUAUUUGAGCACAGAUAAUCAGCAUUCACUCCACACUACUCACACUCUCUUUCCUGCUAGGACAGAGUGGUAGGAAAGAAGAGCUUUGCUAAUUCAUGGUAGCAUUCUGAUCCAUUAUUAAUACAUAAGUCAGAGGAGUACACUGCAGGUAUGGGUGGAAAGACUUUUCAUAAUCCUUCUCUUGGUCUUAUGUCUCCAAGAAGAGAAUGAAGCUCCCAGACAUAUGAAAUUUAGCUUCAUGUCUGAAGAAUUUGCAUCCCAGGAAAAAAAGAGAAAGAGAGAGAGAGAGAGAGGGGAAAGUGAUAGCCAAAAUUCAGCCUUUUUUAACAAUAAAAAUUCUGCAAUCUGGUCUAGACCUGUUCUUAUACAUCAUAGCAGUUGAUUUGUGCAGCAUGCAGCCUCAUUAAACCGCCUGGAAUUCAUGAGCACUAUUUGAGCAUGCACCUGUGAUCUUAUUUGAUUCACCGGAACCUUUGAAAACCUCCUCUAUUAUGACAUUCAGACACAGCCUGGCACUUCUAUUUUGCUUUCCCUUCUGCUAAAUUUGUAUCCAGAGAAAGUAAGAAAUUUCACAAAAAGGGAAGGACUGCAAUGUGCCCCCAGUGCAAGUACCACUUUCCCUAUUUAUCUCAUCAUCUGAAGCAACUAAAAUUCUCCAAGAGUACUGCGAGGCCCCUGCCUACAUGCAAAACAAAACAAACAAGAAAAAUAAAUGUACUGAUCAAUCCCUUCCUCCAGCUCACAAGCAUUCUCCGGAUUUCCCACCUCUAGCCUUUGCACAAGAUUUUUCUUUUCUUGUAGUAGUAACCAUUAGGUCAGUUGUUCACGCCAUUUUAUUCUGCUGACGCACUGUCCUCUUUGCCCACGUUAACAUCCACUUACCGCUUGUUUAUCCUUUCCUGAAGCGUUGCGGUAAUUCUCUCUCUCCCUGGGACUCCACACUGGGCUGAGAGCCAGAGUAAGGUAGAACAACGCAAGGUGCUGCCUUCUCAGGAGCUGGCAGUGUUUCCCAGUAGACCAACAAACUCGAGGAUAAAGUGGCCCCUUUACUGCACCUUUGAUGCACUGGGAUUUGUAGGAUUUACAGAAGCAUCCAGAGCUGGGUUUGAAGACAUUGUCUUACCAGGUUUUUCUCAUUUCAGAAUCAUUAAUUUCUCCUACCACACGUUUCCCAGGCAGCCAUUACAUACAAUACUCAGAUUAGGAGCAAAGAUUUGCCUUAUCCAGUUGCUUCUUUUCUCUGUAUUCCUUUCUUUUCCCACAGCUUCUGCAAAUAAGAUGGAGACAGGCUCUGAUCCUGUAAUCAGUCCAUAAUAUGACCCCACAUAAGAAAACUGAUACAUGGCAGAAAGCUGAAAUGAAUAAGAAACCAACUCUUGUGAGUAAGAUUAAUUUUAGUUAAUAUUAAACAUUCCAGAGUAUAGACCUUUACAUAUGAGCAAGUCACCCUAGGGUCCCUUUAUACUCAGUGGAGAUGGGUACAUUCAAGGCUAGCUCAGCUGAAGGUAUCUAAAUUAGGAGAAAUCAAUUCAGUCCUUUAUUUCUGGUUCCAAUCGCAUUGUCUGUGUCAGCAUUCACUGAAUUCACUGCAUUCCCUUCACUGAUGUCAAUGGCACUUUUCAAAAUGCACAAUCCUGACGUACCACAAGGCAUAUCAUGCAAAAAUAUUCCAGAAUACAUUCCCAUUUCCCACCUAUUUCAGAAUCCAUCCUGACUGUUAAUUAGAAUUUGCAAGAGAAUCUCCGCAACUUGAUUUUUUUUUGGAUAUGGCACUCACUGAGAGAACAAAGGUAUCCACUAAUUUCCAUCACUGACAAACGGAGCUUUUCUGUGGCUUUAUAGAGGCUACAGAAUAAAGCCUUGCUAUCUGCGCAGAGAAAAGAGAGUAUGUAAGCCUGUUCAAAUGCUCUCAACAGCACCCUGAUCACCAUGAAAAAAAGCAAACCAUACACAACCUUGGCAGCUCUAAAAGGAAGUAAAAUUUAUGGAUUUCCUUAUAACUGAGAUGUCAACUCUGGGGAGAAGGAGGAAAUUGAGCCCAAGUAUAAAAAGAAACAAGAAGAGAAUUGGGGGUGAUUGACCUGGUAGCAGAAUCAUUCUUUCCCUACCUUAACACAAAUGAGUUUAAAGCAGAAAACCAUCAUUUCAGGGAGUAAGAACCCUCCUCAUAUCUAACCUGUGAACAACCCAGCAAGGUCUGCCAAGUGCACCAUGAACUCUGCCUUCUUGGUCACUGCAAAGAGAGAUCCAUCCACCUUUCUGGAUAUGGAGACACCGAGGAGUUAGGCGAGAGACACAACUUUAGGCUUCCUUAUAUUACUGUGAUCCAAAAUGCCCACCCAGUAUCUGGUUUUUCUUUCUUCUCCAUUGUUGCCUAACAGAAUUUGUUAUUUCGAACAGGCCAUCACGUGUUGUAGGAAGCACCUGCUUUUGGCAAGAUUCCAGAAGAGGGCUGGUAUCCAACAAAGCUCCAUGUUUAGUUGGGAAGGAUGAAGAGAAGCAUAUAGCAACUGAAAUCAAGGACUCCAUCUCAUCUUAUUUGAAGUAGAGAUGCAGAACUUAAAACUGAUAAGGAAAUACUAACCUAGAGAGACCAUGAAAAAAACAUCAACAGCAUAAAGGCAUCCAUAUAUAUAUAUAUAUACACACAUAUAAGUGGUAUAUUAUUAUCUAACAAUAUCUUUGAGUACUGAGUCACUGUUUCAGAUUCAUAGAAAACUAGGCUGCAGGUGGCAAUCCACUCAUGUGUAUUUUCUUUUCACAAAAUCCACUUUGCACUGAGGGAAUUGCUGAAAUGGAGAUGCCAGAACACUAUCGGGAUGAUGCAGAAAUCUUUGCAGAUGUGCAAUUUUCAUCUAAAAUAAGUUCUACUACUGCAGUGUCCUAGAGUACUUCAGAACAAAAUUAGCCGAAAUGUAUUUUUAUGUAGUCUUCCCUGUUUCUAGAGCAGAUGCAUCCCUGCUGUAUGAGUGGAGGAGGACACAACCACUUAGCUGCAACCACAUGACUGGCACCAGUUCAGCAUUGCACAAGCCAGUGGUAAUGAGCAAGGGGAAGAGGGUAUUGAGGGAUCUUUAGACUUCUGAAUAAAUCCACACUUUGUGGAUCUGAUGUACUGGUCCACUCUGGCCACUUUAGCACCAUGUCAGAAUGACCAGUAGGGACCACUCUAGAUGAGGGGAUUCCACCCUCAGCAAGUUUGCUGAUUAUACAAAGGUGGGAGGAAUGGCUGACACACCAGAGGGCUGUGCUGCCCUUCAACAAAACCUGAUCAGACUGCUGAGGUUCAACAAGUGCAAGUGUAGUGCCCUGCACCCGGGGAGGAAUAACCAUAUGCACCAGUACAGGUUAGAGACUGACCUGCUGGAGAGGAGCUCUGAGGAGAACUUAAUGGUCCUGGUGGACAACAGGUUGGCCAUGAGCCAGCAGUGCGCCUGGGUGGCCAAGCAGGGCAAUGGUAUCCUGGAGUGCAUUGAAAAGAAUGUGGCCAGCAGGUCAAGGGAGGUGAUCUUCCCCCUCAACUCUGCUCUGGUGAGGCCACAUCCAGAGUACUAUGUCCAGUUCUGAGCUCCUCUGUUCAAAAAAGACAGGGAACUUCUAGAGAGAGUCCAGCGGAAGGCCACAGAGAUGAUGAGGGUCCUGGAGCACCUCCUUUAUGAGAGAAGGCUGUUCAGCAUGGAGAAGAGAAGGCUGAGAAGAAAUCCCAUCGCUGUUCAUAAAUAUCUGAAGUGUGGGAGUCAAGUCCAUGGGGUCAGGCUCCUUUCAAUGACAUGCAGCAACAGAACAACAGAGUAACAGGCACAAACUAGAACACAGUAAUUUCCAUCUGAACACAAGGAAGAACCUCUUUACUGUGAGAGUGACGGAGCACUGGAACAGGCUGCCCAGAGAGGCUGCUGAGUCUCCUCUGGAGAUAUUCAAGACCUGACUGGAUGCCUACCUGUGUGAUCUGCUGUAGGGUACCUGCUUUAGCAGGGGUUUGGACUUGAUCAUCUCCAGAGGUCUCCUCCAACCCAUGCAAUUCUGUAACGCUAAAUUGGAAAAAUAAAGCCAUCAGAAUAGGCUCAUGUGCCAACAUUUUUGUUCUUGUUAGUUGGGCAAGAUGAGGACACAGGAGAAAUACCUGUUGGUGACAUCUUUCCCUUCAACCGCUGGUUUUGUGGACAGCAGUAGUAACCUAAGAGCCAUGCUGCCCCGUCGUUAACAAAAU
ensembl:lncRNA